UGUCUUAGCGUGAUGGACCACAGCACCAAUGUAGGCACACAGUUUGUGGUAAUUGGGACUGGGGCUGUGGUGGAGCUUCAUUCCCAAUGGGCUGCAGCUGUGCAGGACAGGUGAGCAGCAUUGAAGGCAAUGAGACCUGGAGUGCUGAGGUGCACUGACCAAUCACCAAAGGGUACAGAGGCCUCACAGGUGCAAUGCAUGAACAAAAGGGGUAUAAAAGGUUGGACUGAAAAGCAGCAAAGAGUAGAUGCUUGAAGCUUUCUGAGGCGGUGUGGUGUUACUCUGAAUGGACUGAUGCUUUCUGAGAUGGUCUCUACAAAGAUUUACUAGUCGUGGUGAGCAUGAGACAGCAGAUUCACUCAGCUCUUUGAACCACAGUUAACAUCCUAGGAUCAGAGAAUGACAGGAUCUUGCUGGCAUCGACUCCCACAGCAUAUCUAUUUACUGCUAGACAUUGAGUAGCUGCUUCAAGAGUUGGAAGUCCUCCAUGGUACCAGCAUUGAAGGACUAUAAGCAGGACAGCCUCACCAAGGGAGUGGGUAUUUGUAUUGACAUAUGAAAAUGAGUCCACUGAAAGGCCAUCAAGAUUGCCAAGGAAGCGGAGCACAUGAAAUAUGAGGAGAUGACUAGUUUUGACCAUGUUUGAAUGUUUGAAGGAGAAAUUCUCCACUGAAAACAGGAACUUCUCACAUCCUACAUGGUGCAAGUCAGUUACAGUACUGCUGUCAUCUUUAUGCAGACAUUAUCCUGGUCCUGCCCUCAAGACUCUAAUCAAGUUCCUUGACCUUUGGACUUCUCUCCAAGCAUGCACAGAAAUUUCUAGUUUAGAUUAUUUUGUUGAAUGAGCAACACUUGUUUGAAGAUUUAAUUUAAGAAAUUAUUUUAGAAAUUUUAAAAAAACACUCAUUUGAAGAUUUAAUUUAAAAAUUCCGAGAAUCUUUUAGAGUACUAAAGAAGGCACCUCAGCCUCAUCUGGUGGAAGCAUAUACUCACAUAGACAGACAUAGCAAUUAAUAGUGAGCUCAAACCCCUUGCCCAUCAAUAAGGAAUCACUGAUCAUGCCCAGAGGAAGUUCCUUCAUUCAGUUUUCUGAGGUAGACAUGAAUAAGCAUUUUCUCAUUUAAGCUGUUAACUGUACACAGAUGUACAUUUAAAUGCCAUUUCACUGCUCCUUUUGCAGAGGUGGGGUACUGACAUUAUUAAAAGUGAUAAAUAUAAAAUCAUGAAAAAGCUUUGAAAAUAUUGGUGUUUCACUUAAU